GAAGGUUUUGGUCACAAGGAACAGAAACCCCUUACGUUGGUAAAACAGUAAAGGAUGCAGUGCGUUCACAGCAGAGAGGUCAGACGGCGGCAAGACGGUGCCGGAGCGCAUGUCCCUGGCAACCUGACUUCUUUGCUCCUCUGGGGGCUUCAUCCUAAGUUUCCCUCUCCUUAUGUGCUCUCAAGAAGAUUGCCUAGAGUUCCUAAAACUGCGUGUCUCUUGGUUCAAGUCCAGAAGAGGAAAAAAGAUGUUAGGCACAGGUUUCCCAGCAAAAUCCUCGGUUUCAGGAUCGGGUCAUCUCGGUUCACACGCCCACCAGUGAGCCAUUGUUAUGCCCCCAGGAUGAAAGUCUCCUCCCCUCAACCUCACAGCUUUGCAAAUAGGAAUCAGGGCUUUGAGGAAACUGGAAAGAGGAAGUGAGUCAGAGAAGGAAUGGAGGACUAACAGGCAGCAUUCUAGUUAAUCCUACGUCUGGCUGUCCCUUUGCUGACCCCACACUUGCACCCAAAGUGGGAUUGUUCUGGGAGCCAGUCUGUGGUCUCUCCAUCGUCUGAUGCUCGCUAUUUGACCACUGGCAGCUCCCAGAGUUCCUCCUGUCUAGAACUCUCCGCUAAGCUCUAGAUCCAACCCCAAGUGGACAUCCUCCAUCAGGCAUUUCAGCUUAUUCCCCAAACUCAGCUCGCCUUCUCCCGUGGACUACUGUGAACUCCCGUGGUGGCUACUGUGAAUGGCACUCAAGUCAGAAAUUGGGGUCCCCUUUGAUGCUGUCUUCGUUCAUCCCCAGCACCCAGUCAGACCUCCAGGCCUGGCACGCCUCCAUCUGCCUCGGGCUCUCCAUCUCCACUGUUGGAGAUCCUCCUAUUGCUGACAGUACCUAACCCACUUCUAAGCCAUGUCAACUCCCAGGCCCUCCCAACUGUGGGUCAGACAUGCCAGGAGGGCCAUCCUGGCCAGGUCAAGCAUCCACUGUGCCCCCUCCCUGAGGGCAUGUCCCCCAGAUGCCGUUUUGCGAGUCUCCAAGCACGAAAAUCCUGCCUUUAUCACUCCUCUUUGCUUUUGCCCAGGUCUUUCCCAUUUCCUCAAGGUCCCCUUUGUUUUGGCUGGAGACCUUCUGCCUGUUGUUUGUGACUCAGCUCACCCUUCACCAACUCAAGGGCUUCCUUAGCACACCCCUUCCUGUGCCCCCAGGCAAAGUAUGGACACCCUCUUUGUGCCUCUAGAGCAUCGUAUUGUAAUGACCUGCUUACGUAUCCAACUGCCCUUCCACUCCCCCUGCCCCAGACCAAGGACCACGAGGGCCUGUGCCAUGCCAUCCUGACCUCUGCAGCCAGGAGCCAGCAUGCUGACUGCAAGGAGGUCAGCAAAUAGUGCUGCCUAUCCUGUGCUUUCAGUUGCCCAGAACAAAAGCUUGGAGUCAUCAACCUCCCUUCCUUUCACAUCCUGUGUCCAGUCUCUAGGAAAAUCCUGUUGCCCCCGCCUUGAAAACAUGGAGAACCCAGCCUCCUCUCACUGCCAUCUCUUGCCUAGACUUCUGCAGUACCUAACUGGACUCGCUGUGUCCACCCAUGAGCCCCUUCAGUUUAUUCUCAGUCUAGCAGCCUCAGUGAUCCUUCUAAAAUGUAAACCAAUCAGGCUGCUCCUGCUCAAAACCAUGCACAGGCUCCCUAUUUCAUUCCGGAAAAGCCAAAGUCCUUAUAAGGUAGGUCUGUGCCACUUAUCCUCUGACCUCCUCUCUGACUGCUCUCCCCCUCUCCUCCUCCAGCUGUUCCAGCCUUCAUGUUGUUCUUUGAACUUAUUUUUAAGUUCACCAUCAGCUGAAGAUACCACACAGCUGUCUCCUAGGGUCUCAUCGCGGUGACAGCCAAUGUGGGCCUACAGGUAACAAAGCCACUGCAAUUGACUAUUAGUUUUCCACCACAUCUGCCCAAUCUCAGUCUUAUUGCCAGGAAGAAAGACUCACAUUGUAUGAACCCGACUGGACAGCAGUGGCAUUUGGAAGAAGAUGAGUAAGAGGCUGAAUCUCAUGCCUGCCCUUCUUGGCAAAUAGUUUUCUCCACAUGAGGAAACUGUCAGAAGAAGUUUGCUAUCGGCAGCAGGGCCCACAUCAGAACUUUGCUGCCGGAUCCUCCAACCCUGAGUUACAGAGUCUAGCCAAUAGGGACGUCGGUCACCUUUACAGCCAGCCCACAAGGCGUCCAGUCAGCCCUUUAGGAGGGUAAUGAAUCUGGUGGUGGGUUUCCUUUAAAUGAUUAGGAAGGACAUCUGACUUUAUUUCCCUGAAAGGUUCGCAGCUGGUGUACACCUAUGCUCAGGUUUGAGCGUGAUCACACUUGACGUAAGAGAUCACUUCUGAGUGGACUUUUCCUUCUGACUUCGACCCCAUUCAGUUCCUGUUACUCUUCAUAGAAAGACAAGAUGUCCACUGCCUUCGUCUGAUCCAGAGGGACACGGACAUGGGAGAGUGAGGCCAGGGGACAAUGGGGCUUGCUGGGGAACUGCAGCAGUGAGAGCUGGCUGGCCUCAGGCCCCAGGAAGGUGAUGUCUACAGCCUCUGCACAGCUGAGCCCAAGAUCUGAGCAAACAGGCCACCCACAGCGCCCACCUUGGGAGCAGGGUCAUCCCUAGACACUGCUGAGGGAUGCGGGCAGGACAGGAGGCCACCCCCACCAAAGGAGCACUGUUUGACCUUGGGUUUAGAUAUCCAGGUUGGGGGGGUGGGCAGGCUGGGUUCUCACAGGGCCUCAGCUCACCCUCAGGUGCCUCACAUGGGAAAGAGGUCUGUGUAUUUGCAUGGAAACAAAAAUUUUUUAAUUUUGCUUUUUUUAGAGCAGUUUUAGGCUCACAGCAAAAGUGAGAGGAAGGCACAGAGAUUUCUCACAUACCUCUGCCCCUACACAUGCACAGCGUCCUCCACAAUCAACAUCCCCCCCAGAGUGGAACAUUUGUCACAAGUGAGGAACCCACAUGACACGUCAUUAUCAUGAUCACUCAAAGCCCACAGCUUACAUUAGGGUUCACUCUUGGGUGUUGCACAUUCUGUGGGUCGGAUAUGACGACAUGUUGAUGUGUUUUCAUCAUUGUAUCUUACAGAAUAUUUUAAUUGCCCCCCACAUCCUCUGUGUUCCACCUAUUCAUUCCUCCCUCAUAAGUCCUGGCAAACACUGAUCUGUUGUCUCCACAGUUUUGCUUUCUCCAUAAUGUCACAUAGUUGGGGUCAUACAUAUGUAGUCUUUUCAGAUUGGCUUCUUUCACUUAGGAACAUGCAUUUAAGGUUCCUGUAAAUCUUUUCAUAUCUUGACAGCUCAUUUCUUUUUGGCACUGAAUCAUCUUCCAUUGCCUGGAUGUACCACAGAUUUAUCCACUCACCUACUGACAUCUUGGUUGCUUCCAGGUUUGGGCAAUUAUAAACACAGCUGCUAUAAACAUUUGUGUGGAUCUAAGUUUUCAACUCAUUAUACCAAGGAGCAGAGGUGCUAUCUGGGGAGAAAGACUCUUUAGUUCCUCUGACAUGGUUCCCUUUAGGUCUGUGAACAUGGUUAAAACAACUGAUUUAAACUCUCUGUUCAAGAAGUCCAAUCUCUCGGAUCCUAGGGGGUAGUUUGUAUGGACUGUUUCUUUGACUGUAUAUGGGCCAUACACUUUUCUUUGCAUGUCUUGUUGAAACUGAACAUCUUAGAUACUGUGGCUACUCUUGAUACUAGAUUCUCCUCCUCCCCCAGAGUUCAUUGCUCUUGUUUGUUUGUUCAGUGACUUUUUGGAAUGAAUUCUGUAGUCUGUAUUUCGGAUUGUGCAUGAACACCUGAAAUCUCUGCUCGGUCAGCUUAGUAGUUGGCCAAUGGUCAGACAGAAAUUCUCUGAAACAUGUGGCACCAGUGAGACUCCCAGUCUUUGCAGAGGGGCUCUGUGGGGGUGCUGGGUAACAGCCUCCUCCCUCUACAGGUUGCUCACAACCCUGCCUUAGCUCUCACUUCCUGCCGAGGAGAGAGCUCGGGGCCUCCUCGGGCCUCCUGAGAGUGCGCACAGCCCGGUGACUGUGUGCCGCCUUGCAGGCUCCUGGGAGCACAGCAGAGCUUCUCAAAACACCUCUGCCCUUGUUAUUGCCCAGUUUUUCCUUUAAAGCCUUUUGCUUGAUCUUUAUCCACCCCAACUGUUACUCACCUCCUCAGGCAGUCUUGAAAUUGGACAAUUUCUUCCAGAUAUUCUUGACAAAUGCCCUUGGGGAGAAGGCUUUUUGCACUGGGUGGGCCCUAAGUCAGGUCAAAUAAAGACAGCCUUGCACGUAGGGUGUCCCAGGGAACCAGCAGCCAGGCCACAUCAUGACCAUUCUCUGAAAGAGUUCCAACCCUGCUCUGCCCCUGCCAUGGCUGCUGGUUGUUACCGUGACUGGCUUUUGGUUUUCAAGGUUCCCUUGGAGCUGAAGUGUUUCAGUGGGACACUAAAAGGAAGGAGUUAUUAAUGUACCCCGAAAUACAGAUUAAUCACAAAAUAAUUAUGCUGAGUUAAAGAAGCUGGACAAAAAAGAAGACAUACCGUAGGACUCCAUCCAUGUAAAAUUCUAGGAAAGGUAAACUAAUCCACAGUGACAGAAAAGUCAAUGACUGCCUGGGAUUGGGGUGCAGGCAGGGAGAAGCAUAGGAGGGGUUACAAAGGGGGACAAGGUUGUGGUUGAUGGAGAUGCUGGUUAUCUUGAGUGUAGCUAUAGUUUCAGGGGUACACAUAUACAUCAAAACUAAUCAAGCUGUGCACAUUAAAUAAGUGCAGCUUAUUGUAUAUGAAUUAUGCCUCAAAUUAAGCAGAUGUUUUUCUUUCUACAGAUUACCUGGAUUUACUACCUGAAAACAACUGUCCCCCUUCUCCCCAUUUCCCCACAACCCCAGUCCACCUGCACCCAGAGCUGAGGCAUCGUGGGUCUCCUAAGUUGUAGGCCACCACCCAGGCCCGCAUGGACCCAGGCUCCCUCCCCACUGUAGCUCUAGCCAUCCUGCAGCCCCCAGGCCUCUGUUCCUGCUGCUCACCUGGCCUGAUGCCCACUCAUACCAGCAACCCCUCCCCCUUUACCUUGUUGAUGUCCGCUCGCCCUCCAGCUUUGCCAGCAUCCCCCAGGCUGGUCCAGGCCCACCCCUGCCCUGCUCCCCUCCUGCUGUCUGUCCAGAUGCUGGCCCCGUUGUACCUGAAUCCUCUGUAUAUUGGCCUCUGUUGGAAGCAGGUAGGCUCUGGAAGGGCAGCAGGACUGGAUUUUAUUUUCCUCUAUGCCCUGGGCAGCACUUAGCAGGAGCCUGGCUUAAAUAGCUGCUGCUUGAAACAAAAGCAGCAAAAAUCUGGAAACAAUCUAAAUAUUCAACAACUGAGGCCUGAUGAAGUGCCACACAGCCACCAUUCAGCGGGACACUUUGUGGUCUGACAGGAAGGUUGGGGGGCACCUCAGGAGGUCAUGUGGAGUGAAGGGGUGGGCUGCCUGCAUGGUCAGGUUGCAGCAGGUCAGCUCUUCCCAGGCUCCCUCGCCCUUGGGCACACUGCCCAGCCCCUUGGCUGUGGCCUGGCCUGGACAGGCUAGCGGAGAGAAGGAGCUCUGAAACUGAGCACACCUCCAUCUGCCCCCUCCGUCUUCCCUGUUUCUCUUCUAACCUCUGCCCACAGGUGUGGAGGGACAGAGCCCCCCAAAGGGCCCUCACUCCCACCAUACUCCUAUGCUACACCCCUCCACCUGGCUCUCCACUCUUGGCCUCAGCCGUAGGAAGCCCUCCUGUUGGAAUCCAGGCCUGAGCCUGAAGAAGUCUGGAUCAGAGGAUCGGUGGGGGGGCGGCUGCAGCGGGGCCUCCUUUCACAGCUGCCCACACCCUGCCUGUGCUUGGGAGAGCAGAUGCUGGCUAGGCCUGCAGGAGGUUUUCACAGCCUUCCCAGGUGGCUGGCAGCCAGGAAGAGGCUGGCCUGUGGGUGUCUGGCCCAGCCGGAUGUCGGCCGCCUUUCUCCUGCUGGCGCUGGCGAAUACCCCGCAGCUGGCGCGACAUAGAGACCUUUUCCCCACUUCAAGCUCUGGCCUCCAGAUGAUUCCAAGCCCCUGAAGUUUACAGGAGUCUCAUGUCACUGGCACAGGGCCUUCCAGGCCAUUCUGAGCCUCCCCUCUCCUUGCUUGGGCACGAAGCCACCCUAGUGGGCAGCAGAGGAACCUUAGGCCUCCAGGAGGGCCCCGUCACAGGCCUGCGAGCUGGGGCAGAUGGGGGCUGGACCAUGGGGCCCACCCUCUGGGCAGCGAGGCUCCAGCAACAGCCCCCAUGUUCGAGCCCAUCACAAUGCCUGCCCUUUCCACCAUCAGGCCCAUUCCUGGCCCCUGGAUGCUGCUGCUUCUGUGGGCAUUAGUCCUAAGGGCGGGGGCUUAGUGGCCCACUUUCUCACCACUGCUGACACCAUGGGACAGGCCUUGUCACGGACCCUUCUUGUGGCUCGAGCCUGUCACCUGCUUCUAGUUCCCUUGACCACCACCUCAAGCCUGGCUCUUGGCCUGGUAAUUGCCAGGCAGAGGCACCCAGAGAAGGGGAUGUGCUCCCAGGCAAGCCAUGGGAACUUAACAAACUGACUGGUCCAAGGCCCUGAGGAGAGGCAGUGCAAGGGCUCCCGGCUGCAAGCAGCAGAAGACUCUCCUAAUGUGGGCAGGAAGUUGGGGAGCCAACGUGGAAAACAGCCAAGAGCCAUGGCCAAGGCCACACCCCAGAAACAGGCCCACAGCUACCCAGGACACGUCCUGCACGCACUCCAGCCGUGAAUGCAGGGCUGCCCACCAGCUCCUGAGCCCUCCACUCGUCACUUGGGCUACCAACAUAACGCUGGUGCUCCUGGGAUUGAGGAGGUGUGUACAGUUGGCUGGUGUGAGCUGUCUCACACGCCUGGGCUCUCCUCCCUCCAGCAGGUGACAGCCUGUGAGGACUGGAGGUCAUCGGCUCAGGUAAGGUGAGGGAGCGCCCGGCAGGUGGUGUGUAUGGUGGAAACAUUCUUUGUCAUAGGGAUGCAGUUUGGGGCUCAGCUUUGUCUUCAAGGCAGCUGGUAGGGUGAAAAGAACUUGGGAAUCAGGAACUGCGCCCUGUCUCCUAUCCUCUUCCUUUCAAGCGGUGGAAGCGGGACCCUGGGCUUCAGAGCGGGAGCUGCUCUCCCCACAUGUGGGCAGGUAAAGGCCUGGGAAGGUGGCAGCCCGGCUGCCCCAAAGACCAGUGCAUUGCCCCAAAGGCCACGGUCCAAAAGCUGGUCAGAGGACAGGGGUUCUAAGCACUGUUGGUCAGCGCAGCCCCUGGGCUGGAUUGGACGUCCUUCACCUCAGCUCUGAGCCAUGGAAGAACAUGCGCCUGCAUCUGUGUGAAGCCCUGAGGACAGGGCAGCCUUCUCUGCAGCCCCGGACUCCAACACGUACACACGCAGCAGCCACAGGAAGCCCAGAGGCAGAGGCCAGAGUGGGGAGGGCAGAAGCAGGGCAAAGGCAAGGGGGUGGCUGGCGGCGCCUGAGAACGAUGGGCCCCAGGGCUGGGCCUCCGGUCCCGCGUCUCCCUGCAGGGCUCCAGGAGUCUCAGCCCCUGAGUGUGGUGCUCAGUUUUUCUGGUCAAGUUGGCCAGGAUCUGGUCCCCAGUUACACAACCCACAUCAAUCUGGGGUGCACUCUGACGGGGUUUUGUCCAGGUGGUUACCAUCCACAGUCAGGCGACCCAGGAGAAAAGGAGCCGGCAGGGGCUUGGCGGGGGUCAUGGCGACCAUGGACGGCAGGGAUGGGGAGAAAGGCAGGGUUCCUGGGCUGCAGAGGGUCUGCGCUGGGCACUGAGGUCAUGAAGAUGCCCCUGGCUGGUGGGGGGCAGAGAGGGGCUUACAGGUGUCGGGAUGAUGAAGUAGAAUAUGGUCCCUCUUUCCACUCGACACUGGUUCACAGUGAGAGCAGGUGUAGGGUGUGGAUUUGAAUUUCAAGAACCUUAGUGGUGGCACAUCUCCGCUGAAGGAUGGCCGCAGAGGCGUAUCGGAGGGGUCCGCGCCCUAAACGCAGGAGCUCAGGUCAUGACCUCAGUCUCCCUGGUUUCAGGUUCUCCAACCAUAAUGUGGGGGACACUCUCCCUGCCCUUUGUGUGUCCUUUCUUGGGACAGCUGAAAUGAAGUCAGCAUCCUCUCACAUUAUCGAGAAGAAUUGGAGUGGGGUGUGCAUGAGUGUGUGGGCACACUUGAACGCCCACACAGACACAACAGGUGUGUCAGCCUCUUCUGCAGGGGAACACACGAGGUGGUUUUGACAAGCCAACAAAAAGAAACUGGCAAAAGUUCAGUGAGAGAUGUCACAAAAGAAGAUGUACGCAGGCCCAGAAGCAUGUAAAGGGGUGCUCGGCAUCGCCAGUCACCAGGGAAAUACGAAUUAACGCCAGGGUAGUGGCCGCUCCCACCCCCCUAGGGUGGCAGUAGAUGGAAAGCCUGGCCACGCCCCCUGGUGGCAAGGGUGUGGGGCAGUCGAGGCUCUCAUACUCUGCGGCUGGGCAUGUAAAAUGGUGGAACCACUUUAGGAAAAUGGUUUGGCAGAUUUUUGUAAAGCUGAAGAGAGAUUUACCGUAUGGCCCAGCGACUCCAUUCCUAGGCUUUACCCAAGAGGAAUGAAAGCAUGCUUCCGCACAAAGACGUGAACGUGAUCUCCACAGCGGCUUCAUUCCCAAACACCAAGCACUGGGAACAGCCCAAAUGCACAUCAAGGGGAGAAUGGACGCACAAAGCCCUCAGCGCUACUGAGCAAAAACAGAAAAGCCCAGAUUACUGAUAGGGCCAUCUCCGUGGGUGACUCCCAGACACGCUCGCUGAGCAAAAGGAGGCAGACGUGAGAGAGGCCAUGCCACAUGGCUCCACUGACAUGAACCUCUGCGGCUACAAAAGGCAGGUCAGCAACCCUCAGUGGGGGGAGGGGUUCACUGCAAAGGGCACGAGACCGCUGGGGGCGAUGGGUCCUGUACGCUGACUGCAGUGGUAGUUUCACCUGCAUCUGCAUCCAUCCGCACCCAUGGAAUUGUACACUUCUGAUGGAGGAAGCCCACUGAACAUAGGGCACAUCUUCAAGUUGGUUUUUUAAAACGUUAACUAAACUUCCUGGAGUAAUCAUUUACAAUAUAUGUAAGUCAAAUCAUUAGGCUGUAUGCCUGAAAGUUAGUGCUGUGCGUAGAUUAUAUCUCAAUAAAACAAAAAAAUGAAGGCAAAUAGUUGGAUUAAAAAAAAGGUUGCUGAAGACUGUGGCCCCAAGCCUCCUCUACUCUCUAACUGGAGUGCCAGCCUUCCCGCAGUGGCUGGGGGCGCCCAGUGAACCCGCACUCGCUGUCACUUGCCUGCUGCGGCCUUUUGGGAGGUCCCCAGCGGCUCCAUGCCCAGCUGCCACCAGCCCAGCCCGGACUGCCUGACAGGUACGCACCAGGAAAGGUAAGCUCUCUAGUUCUGGGACACUUUUUCAGUUAGGAGGGUCAGAAAUCCCAACUCAGCUGAAGCCAAAGAGGCUGGGGGUGGGCGGCGGGUUUCCCUGCUUGCCAGCCAUCCGGGACCCCUGAGCCGUCGGGUCGGCGCGCCGCUAACCAGGUGUGCUCGGCCUCUCCAUGUUCUGGCUGUGGCCUCUGCUGCUCUCACAUGUUCUCCGCUGUCAGACCUGUGGCCUGGCACAUCCUCUAGCUGCCCCGAGGAAGCUCUAGCACUGGUCUUGGCAGAAGCCCUGCUGGUCUGGCCUAUGUCGCAUCCUCACCCUGCAGCCAAGCACUGUGGCCCAAGAAGUGCAGAAUUGCGAUUGGCUGGCACGGGCUACAUUUACAGAAGGUUUCCAUAGAUAUUAUAGGGUGUGUACACAAAUAAACAGGAGGAGGCCCUGAGCUGGGCAGAGUUCUAAGGUGGACCCUGAAUCUCCCACCCUGGUGUACGCCCUCUAUAAACACUUCCACCUAAGUGUGGGCAGGACCCGGGGCUUGCUUCUAGCCCAUGACAUGCCAAAGGUGAUGUCACUCCCAUGACAUCAUACAGGACUCUGUCUUAGCUGAACCUGCUGGCCUCAAGGAAACGAGCUGUCACACUGUGCUGCCUCUGGAGAAUGCUGGUGGCAGGGACUGCAGGUGGCCUGUAGGACCUAUAUGUGGUCUCCAGCUGGUAGCCAGUAAGAAGUCUGCCCCUCGGUCAUUCAGCCACAAAGGGAGGAUUUCUGCUAAGAGCCCAAGAGAGUGAGAAAGCAGGUGCUUCCUUGGUUGAGCCUCUGGCUGAGAACACAGCCCAGUGGACACCUUGACUGAGGAUGAAUGAGACCCCAGCAGGAGACCCAGCUCAGCUAGGUCCAGGCCCCCCUCUCAUUAUCUCAUGGAAACUGCGAGAUAAUAGAUGUGCAUUAUUUGAAGCCCCCAAAUGUGUGGUAAUUUGUCACUCAUCAUAGAAAGCAUGUUUCCUCUGCAGCAGGGAGUGGCUGGGGUCCCGGCUCCAGCCUCACGUCACCCAGGCCACUCCCCACAGCAAGGUCGGAAACACGGUCCUAAGACACAUGUGAGCCUCUUAUCCUAGUUAAGUCCCAUUGAUGCCUGCUACUGGUUUUCAGAAUAAAAUGCAAACCCUUUGGCAUGGCCCACAGGCCCUCAGUGAUCUGGCCUUGUGAGUGGGCCUUUCCCCAGCACCCACCUGUCUGCGUUGGGGCCACGGAGGCCGAUUCCCCUCAGCCUUCACUCUCCAGGCCUGCAUGAUCCUCUCAUCUUCCUCCGGCUUUCUGCCUCCGCCCCUCAGCACACAUCCACACCCACACUCACCCCCCCCCACACAAACCUUUUCCUUUUUCUCUUCCUUUUUGAAACUGAGCUUGAAUAUGGCCAGGAGACAGAUUUCUGACUCUAGGGUGAAGUGCCUGUUUGCUUGGGUCAUCCCUCCCCACGGAGUCCCCCGACCCAACCCCCGAUGCCGGUCCCCUACAUGUCUCCCCUCCGCCCACACACUGUGAACCACGGGAUGGCAGGAGAAGCUCACUGUCCCAGGAUCCCAGGACCAGCCCAGGGCUGCUGAAGUGAAUUAGGGAACAGCAUAUCCACUCUCUGGUUAGGGGUGGGGCCUGUUAACCCUUUCAUGCCUUCUAAAUGAGGCACGGUGUCUACACACAAAUGGGGCAAUCUUGGGACCAGAUGCUCCCCAACCUACUCCCUAGUCUGGGCUGCAGGGCGUCCAGAGUCCAGCUAACAUUUGCUGGAAUCCAGAGAGGCUGGUGGGGCUUUUAUCCAUGCUUCUGCCAGCCUGUUACCUAACAAGGUCCUCUUAUACCCAAAAGGGGAAACUAAGGCUGAGGCAGCGAGGAGCCUGCUUCCUGACAGCACACCUCCUCCCCACUGGCUGCUGGGUGUGUCCCUCUACAGGGGAAGUGGUGACGGGCCCACCAGUGGGCCAGGAGGGAUCUUCCCCAGGGUGGGGAGCUUCCUGAUCCCGGGUACCAGACAAAUCCCUUAGCGGACCCCAAGUUUCUAGCACCCCUGCCCAUCUGCCUCCACCAGUGGAAUGUGCUGGGCCUGCGGACACCCUUGUUCCCUCCCUUCCUUCCCCCUCAGGGCGUUGUGAAGGGAACCAGGAAGCCACAGGGUUGGGAACGACUCCGAGCCCUGCUCUGAAACAUGCGGGCAGAGAAGGGUGAAUGUGUCUGAAAUGCUCCCAGGCCCGGCAGCAGGGGAGGCUGCUUCCAGGCGGAGGCUGGCCCACUGCCUCCCUGUGCCAGCUCAGAGCCUCUGCCCUACCCCCGAGUUCCACGGCACCUCUCCCUGCACAAGACCCUGCCCCCGCCAGGGUUUCUGGGGGCCCCACAUCCGGGGUCAUUGACAUAGGCUCACAGUGUGAGGCUCCCUGCCCUUCUCCCACAGGGAUAAAUAAAAAGACACCCCCCACCCCUGAAAUAUCUUCCACAAGCUGCUUCUGAUGUGAGGGGAAGGCUGGUCUCAGCUAAGCCAGCUAAGGUUCGUCCCGCGGCUCUCGAGGUGCCACGUUUCAUGCACCACAUCUCUAAUUCUGAGAACCGCUCAGCUAGGGCGGUAUUAUUACUCCCAUUCCAGAGUUAAAGAAACUGAGGAUUCAGGCUCAGUUAACAGGAGGUUCCUGGAGGGCUAGGGCUGCAGGGGGCGCCCAGACGGACUUCCCAGGGGAAGACAGCAAACGGCGGUGUGACACGCACAGUGCUGAACACACUCAGGACCCCAAGCCCCAGCCAAACCGAAGCGUGUGUGUGUGUAUGGAAAAAAGUCUGGCCCUGAUUACCUGCCUUGGGAAGUAGACAGAAGAGGGGAAGAUUUUUCACUUUUUUUCCCAUAUGAU